rnacentral:rRNA from 1 species
GUGGGGAAUCUUGCGCAAUGGGCGAAAGCCUGACGCAGCCAUGCCGCGUGGAUGAUGAAGGUCUUAGGAUUGUAAAAUCCUUUCACCGGUGAAGAUAAUGACUGUAGCCGGAGAAGAAGCCCCGGCUAACUUCGUGCCAGCAGCCGCGGUAAUACGACGGGGGCUAGCGUUGCUCGGAUUUACUGGGCGUAAAGGGCGCGUAGGCGGACAUUUAAGUCAGGGGUGAAAUCCCGGGGCUCAACCUCGGAACUGCCUUUGAUACUGGGUGUCUUGAGUAUGAGAGAGGUGUGUGGAACUCCGAGUGUAGAGGUGAAAUUCGUAGAUAUUCGGAAGAACACCAGUGGCGAAGGCGACACACUGGCUCAUUACUGACGCUGAGGCGCGAAAGCGUGGGGAGCAAACAGGAUUAGAUACCCUUGUAGUCC